rnacentral:rRNA from 1 species
CCGAACCGACUAAUGUUGAAAAAUUAGCGGAUGACCUGUGGCUGGGGGUGAAAGGCCAAUCAAACCGGGAGAUAGCUGGUUCUCCCCGAAAGCUAUUUAGGUAGCGCCUCGUGAAUUCAUCUCCGGGGGUAGAGCACUGUUUCGGCUAGGGGGCCAUCCCGGCUUACCAACCCGAUGCAAACUGCGAAUACCGGAGAAUGUUAUCACGGGAGACACACGGCGGGUGCUAACGUCCGUCGUGAAGAGGGAAACAACCCAGACCGCCAGCUAAGGUCCCAAAGUCAUGGUUAAGUGGGAAACGAUGUGGGAAGGCCCAGACAGCCAGGAUGUUGGCUUAGAAGCAGCCAUCAUUUAAAGAAAGCGUAAUAGCUCACUGGUCGAGUCGGCCUGCGCGGAAGAUGUAACGGGGCUAAACCAUGCACCGAAGCUGCGGCAG